UAUCUAGUUUUAAAAAAAGUGUGGCAUGACCCGCCCAACAAACCAAGAUCGCCGCCAUGGCUAAAAAGAGCGCAUAGGGGUAAAAUGUAGAUUUUUGCUUAUAACUCUGAAACCAAAGCAUUUAGGGAGCUACCAUUGAUUCUUAUGGGUGGGGCUGUAGGAUGAAUUUGAAAAAAAUAGACAGGACAGGAGUUUUGAGUAAAAAAAAGGCCCAGGAUUGAGACAAUUGCCAAAAAAAAACAGUCAGGACGACAAUUUAAGGUUAAAAAAAAAAUCAGGAUAACUAAAAAAAAAAAAAGCAGGGACCAAACAGAGUGAAAAAUAAAAAGGCAGGACAGAGAUUACAGCUAAAAAAAAUGCAGGAGAAAAAAAAUUUUUCAUCCUAGCCCCCCCAUAAAAAGUCAAAACAGAAGAAUAGAAAUACACAUAUAAAUAGAGCAAAUCUGACGAGAACGGGUAAAAUUUGUUAAUGAAGUGAAGAUCUACCGAAAUCUAGCAAAUAUAAUUCAAGAUAACUUGGACAACGGUUGUUGGUUGCUGCCCCCUGAAUUUGUAAAUUUUAAAGAAAAUUUUGACGUUUUAUAUAACGAAACGCAACAAUUUAAAAAAAUUAUAAAUAUGGUACGUAUAUUGAGUAUCACCGUUGCGUCGUAGUCGCUCUCCGAAUACGUUUUAGAAAUUUUCGCAACUCAAACUUUGUAAAAGUGAAUAGAAAUCUAAUAGAAAAUAUUUAAAAAAUAAACGACAAAAGAGUUUAAUGAAACCACAAAUAGGAAGGUGGGGAUUGAUUUUGGAGUUUGGGUCCCAACAUUUUAGGAAUUAGAAGGCCCCAAAAAAGGGCAACCCAAAUAAGCAUUUCAUGGGAAGUUAAUUCGCAACAAUAUAACUUAGUUAAUGUAAUAGAAAAUCAUAUGAAAUUUUGACCAAGGUUGAUGCCACAAAAGAAAGGUUGAAGAAGAUGAUGUUGGAGAGUAUAUAAUAGGUAAAAUCAAACAAAUAUAUAAGAUAAUAAAGAGAAAGACCUAAAAGUGGGCCCAAAAUAGAGCAUUAUUCUUGGUUGUUAGCACCAAUGUAAACUGUGUAUAAGUAAAUAGAAAUCAAUGAUUUAAACACAGCGUUUAUGACCACAAAAGAAAAGUUGGAUUGAAAUAUUAAGAUUCGAAGUUGAAGGUCACAAACAGUAUAAAGGAAUUAAGGAGGCCAAAAAAGGAGGCCAAAUAAGCCUAUUCUUGGUUUUAGCACCAUAACUUUAGUUAAGUAAAUAGAAAUCUAUGAAAUUUUAAACAAGGUUUUGACCAUAAAGAAGAUUGGGUAUUGAAUUAAUAUGGAGAAGAUCAUUUGGAUUACUACAAACAGUAGGAAUAAGGGUGCCAAAGGGUCCAAAUGAAUGGUUUGAUUUCAAAAUCAAAAGAUUAUUAUAAAUUGGGGUUCUUUGAGUAUGCCGAAUCUAAAACAUGUGUAUGGUAGAAUUUCUUAAUUUUGGUCCCGUUUCAAAUUGGUCUACAUUAAGGUCCAAAGGGAUACACAAAAAUUAAAACUAUUAAGAAUUAUUAACAAAUGAAAUCCUUGGGUUCUUGAUAUGACUGAAAAAUCUAAAAAAAAAUGUAAACUAAAUAGAAUUAUAUUUAUUAUUAGCCCAGUUUUCAAGUUGGUCCAAAAUCGGGGUCCAAAAUCUAACUUGUAAUUGAUUCAUCAAAAAAAUAUGAAUAAUUAGAGGUUCUUUGAUAUGCCAAAUCGUAAACUGUGUAUGUAGAUCUUAAUUUUUGCGUCCCCGUUUUCAAAAUGGUCCCAUUAAAGUCAAAGGGUCCAAAUUUAAACUAAGUUUGAAUUUUAACAAAAAAUGAAAAUUAUUGGAGUAUAUUUAUUGAUAUGCAUAGAAUCUACAUAGUACAUAUAGAUUUUUGAUUUAUUGGGCCCAUUUUUAUACGACCGCAAAAAAUUUUAAUUUUUCGUCGUAUAUUGCUAUUCACUUGGCGUCGUCGUCCUGCGUCGUUCUUGCGUCUUGCGUCGUACGUCGUCGCCGAAUACUUUUCCGUUUUCGCACUCUAACUUUUAGAAAGUGAAUAGAAAUUCUAUAAAUUAUUAACACAAGGAUUUAUAACCACAAAAGGAAAAGGUUGGGGAUUGAUUUUGGAGUUUUGGUCCCAAAAUUUUAGGAAUUUAAGGGGACCAAAAAAGGAGCCCAAAUAAGCAUUUUCUUGGUUUUCGCACUAUAACUUGAGUUUAACUAAUAGAAAAUUCUAUGAAAUUUUGACACAAGGAUUUUGACCACAAAAAGGAGGUUAGGAUGAUUUUUGAGGAGUUUAGAUUAAAACAGUUUAGAGAAAUCAUAAGGGAGCCAAAAAAAGGGCACCAAAAUAAGCAAAUAUAGUUCUUGGGUUUUCGACAAAUAACUUUAGUAUAAGUAAAUAGAAAUCAAUUGAAAUUUAAACACAAGGUUUCCAUGACCACAAAAGGAAGGUUGGGAUUUGAUAAAUUUGGGAGUUGAAGGUCUUGAACAGUUUAGGAAUAGGGCCAAAAAAGGCGGCCCAAGUAAGCAUUAUUCUUGGUUUUCGCACCAUAACAAUUAUAAAAAGAUAAUAAAAAAGAUAAAAAUAAAGAAAAUCUUUGAAUUUAAACACAAGUUAUGACAUAAAAGGUAAGGUUGGGAGUUUAAUUUUGGGAAAGUAUUGGUCCCAACAGAGUUAAUUUAAGGAAGAAGAGGGACCCAAAGGGUCCAAAAUUGAACUUUUGUUGAUUUCAUCAAUAAUUGAAUAAUUUGGGGUUCUUUGAUAUGCGAUCAUAAAUCUGAAAUGUAUGUAGAUCUAAUUUUUGUCCCGUUUUCAAAUUGGUCUACAUUAAGGUCCAAAGGGUCCAAAAUUAAACUUUAGUUUGAUUUUAACAAAAAUUGAAUCCUUGGGGUUCUUUUAUAUGCUGAAUCUAAAAAUAGAUACAAUAUAAGAUUUUUUUAUUAUUGGCCCAGUUUUCCAGUUGGUCCAAAUCGGGGUCCAAAUUAAACUUUGUUUGAUUUCAUAAAAAAAAUAAUAAAAUAUAUAGGAGAGAUCUAUUGAUUAUGCCAAAUGCAACUGUGUAUGUAGAUUCUUAAUUUUUAGUCCCGUUUUCAAAUUGGUCUACAUUAAAAUACCAAAGGGUCCAAAAUUAAACUAAGUUAUGAUUUUAAUAAAAAUUGAAUUCUUUGGCUUUUUGAUAUGCUGAAUUUAAAUCAUGUACUAAUAGGAUUUAUUAGAUUAUGGCCCAGUUUUCAAGUUGGUUCGAAAUGAGGAAAUCCAAAAUGAAUUUAUUAAGUAUUGUUGCAAUACAUGUAGCCAAGAAAUUUUCAAUUGCACCAGUAUUCGCAAUAGCAGAAAUCUUCAAUUGCACGUAUUGUGCAAUAGCAAAAAAUAUUCAAUUGCACAGUAUUGUGCAAUAGCAAGAAAUCUUCAAUUGACACAGUAUUGUGAAAACAAAUAGCAAAUAAUUUUCAAAUUGCACAGUAUUGGGCAAUUAGCAAGAAAUAUCUAAUUGCAAACAAAAUAUUGAUGCAAUAGCAAGAAAUUUUCAAUUGAUUGGAGUCAUCUUUCUUUGUCCAGAAAUAGUAGUUGAAUCAACUUAAAUCAUUGUUGUUAUAUACAAUGCACAAUGUAUAUCACUGUUUACUACCAACGAUAAAUAUAAAACACUCUUUACCAUUCAGUGAUAACAAGCAUUAUUUUGUGUUCCUUAUUAUAUUUAUGAUUUGUACAGUCGACUCUCGUUAUGUCGAAGUCAGCCGGACCAGAGGAAAUAUUUCGAGAUACACGCUAGUUUCGACUCAAAAAAAAAACACCGGAAAGUUCGACAAUCUAAGGGAAACAACUCUUGCUUAGCUUCGGUAAAGCUAAAAUAAAUCCGGCACACGUGAAUAUGCAAGGGGAUCGAUGUUUUCUAGUAUCAGAUCAGAAAUGAUAAUUAUGUAUAGUCAACAGAUCUUAUUAUGUUAAUUAAUGACAUUUUUUUACUUAUUCAAUUAAAAAAAUCCUUUGGCUUUUCAAAAGAGAGUAAUUAUCCAAAUCGAUAGUUUUAUUAAAUGUUAAACUGUUUAUUCAGAUCGUUAUAGCUGACAAAAAAUAAAGAUUAAUAUAUCAUCGGAUACAAGAGAUUUAAGGAAAUUUUGAUUUCUAUUCAUUUUGUUUUAUCUCACUCUUUCUUUUCAAAAGAAAAUAUAACAAGAUUAAAGACGCCGUUUAAGUAGUUUUUAGGUGAUCAUCAACGGAAGCCAUAAUCCUCACUUUAUACACACCCAAGCUCAUUAGUGUAAAUCACAAAUUAAUUGUUUUGUAAACAUUUUAAAUACUUGUUCAUGAACAUUAACAAUGUAUCACUAAUUAUUUAUAAAAAUUCUAUAAAAGAUAAUCUUAGGUAAACACUCAUGGAAAUAGCAUGUCAUAAAUCAAUAUAGUGUUCAGUGACCGGAAAUUUAAUUACACGUGUAUUGUCAGAUUAACUCUUCAAUCCAUUUUUAAAAAUCCCGGAGGUCAUGUUUUGACAUAUGUGUAUUAGUUCGAGAUAAAAAAAUGAAUUUUGAAUGCUUUUGUUAACCUUGGGACCGUAAAUUUAGUUCGACUCAACCGAAAUUUCGACUCAUCCAAUUUUGACUCAUCAGGAGUUGAAUUACAUACUUUUGUAUGGAAUAAAGUUCGGGACCACGUGAAAACUUCGACUCAUCCGAAAUUUCGAGUCAACCGAGUUAGAACGAGAGUUAACUGUAUUUCAAUGAGUAGUUAAUUGUUGCAAACUCCCAUUAGAAAUUUGAUUGAGAAUCAGUUUUGAAAAAAGAAAGAGGAGAUGAUGAAAAAAAAAAAUGUUGGCCGGUGGAGGGGGGAGGAGGGGUUAAUUAUUUUACUACAAUUAUCAGAUUUCAUAAUAAAAAGAAAAUUUCUUCAAACAUUUUUUUGAAGGAAUUACAUAUUCAACAUCAUAAGAUAAGAUAUGCUAACAAGACAAAAAAAAUUAUUUUUAAGUUCAUUAGACCACAUUAAUUCUGUGUCCAAAACCUAUGCUGUGUCAACUAUAUUAAUCACAAUACCAAAAUUUAGAGACUGAAUCCAAGCAAUAUGAAAUAGUAUGUGUCCAUUAACUUGCCGCCAACGUUCAGGGUUCAACCGAAUGCAAGUCGUAUAAAGCUGCGCCCUGCGGGCAUCUGAGUUCAAGUUGGUUCAAAUCAGGAUCCAAAAUUAUUAUAUUAAGUAUUGUGCAAUAGCAAGAAAUUUUCAAUUGCCACAGUAUUCAGCAAUAGCAAAGAAAUCUUCAAUUGCACAGUAUUGUUGCAAUAAGCAAGAAAAUUUUCAAUUGCACAGUAUUGUGCAAUAACAAAUAUUUUCAAUUGCACAGUAUUGCGCAAUAGCAAAAAAUAUCUAAUUGCACAAUAUUGUGCAAUAGCAAGAAAUUUUCAAGUGGAGUUAUCUUUCUUUGUCCAGAAUAGUAGUUGAAUCAACUUAAAUCAUUGUUUUAUACAAUAUACAAUGUAUAUAUUCACUUUUACUACCAACUGAUAAAUUAAAACAAUCUUUACCAUCCAGUGAUAACAAGCACUUUAUUUUACAUUUUUAAAUUAUUUAUAUUGAUGAAUAUUAUAUAGACAAUUUAAUGUAUAUAAAUAAUUCCAUUGAAAUUUGACACAAAAACAUAAUUAAAAGUUUUAGAAAACAUUCAAAUAUAGGAAAAUAAUAAGCAACAUAUAAUGGCAUUGGAGUUAUCUUUCCUUUUCCAGAAAAAGUAGAUUAAAUUAUUUUAAAUCAUGAUGUUAUGACAUUUAAUAUUUUAAUGAUGUAUAUUAAAUGAGUUAGUUAUUGGUGCAAACUCCAUAUAGAAAUUUGAAUAUAGAGAAAUCAGUGUUUUGGAAAAAGGGAAAGGGGGAUGUGNNNNNNNNNNNNNNNNNNNNNNNNNNNNNNNNNNNNNNNNNNNNNNNNNNNNNNNNNNNNNNNNNNNNNNNNNNNNNNNNNNNNNNNNNNNNNNNNNNNNNNNNNNNNNNNNNNNNNNNNNNNNNNNNNNNNNNNNNNNNNNNNNNNNNNNNNNNNNNNNNNNNNNNNNNNNNNNNNNNNNNNNNNNNNNNNNNNNNNNNNNNNNNNNNNNNNNNNNNNNNNNNNNNNNNNNNNNNNNNNNNNNNNNNNNNNNNNNNNNNNNNNNNNNNNNNNNNNNNNNNNNNNNNNNNNNNNNNNNNNNNNNNNNNNNNNNNNNNNNNNNNNNNNNNNNNNNNNNNNNNNNNNNNNNNNNNNNNNNNNNNNNNNNNNNNNNNNNNNNNNNNNNNNNNNNNNNNNNNNNNNNNNNNNNNNNNNNNNNNNNNNNNNNNNNNNNNNNNNNNNNNNNNNNNNNNNNNNNNNNNNNNNNNNNNNNNNNNNNNNNNNNNNNNNNNNNNNNNNNNNNNNNNNNNNNNNNNNNNNNNNNNNNNNNNNNNNNNNNNNNNNNNNNNNNNNNNNNNNNNNNNNNNNNNNNNNNNNNNNNNNNNNNNNNNNNNNNNNNNNNNNNNNNNNNNNNNNNNNNNNNNNNNNNNNNNNNNNNNNNNNNNNNNNNNNNNNNNNNNNNNNNNNNNNNNNNNNNNNNNNNNNNNNNNNNNNNNNNNNNNNNNNNNNNNNNNNNNNNNNNNNNNNNNNNNNNNNNNNNNNNNNNNNNNNNNNNNNNNNNNNNNNNNNNNNNNNNNNNNNNNNNNNNNNNNNNNNNNNNNNNNNNNNNNNNNNNNNNNNNNNNNNNNNNNNNNNNNNNNNNNNNNNNNNNNNNNNNNNNNNNNNNNNNNNNNNNNNNNNNNNNNNNNNNNNNNNNNNNNNNNNNNNNNNNNNNNNNNNNNNNNNNNNNNNNNNNNNNNNNNNNNNNNNNNNNNNNNNNNNNNNNNNNNNNNNNNNNNNNNNNNNNNNNNNNNNNNNNNNNAAAAAAUCAGAAAUUAUUGUGUGUUUUUUAAUAUGCUAAAAACAAUGAUUACUAAUGUGAUUCAAGUAUAGAAUAAUGAGGACUUGCAUUCUUUGAAUAUACUAUAUUUGUACGCAGCUCCCAAAAAUCACAAUAAUUAAACUUGCAGAGAGAGUUUUUUGGUAAGUUUUCUUUUCUUUUUCUAGAUAGAGUUGGCGGCAGAACUUUUUCUGUUCCCCUUAAGACUGGUACUGGUACAGAUAUAUUUGACCUUGGAGGACAAUGGGUUGGCACGUAAGUUGGAAAAUUAAAAUUAAAUAAAAAAAUUAGAAGUAAAUAAAAAUUUGGUGUUAAAAUACUUUUACAAAUAAUUGAGAAGUCCAACUCAUCCAGACCCUCCUAUGUAGCCAUAAAGUGCUCAAUGAAUUUGUUUUUCUUGUCAGUAGCGAGAGUUGUAAUAGACCACUUUCGAGUUCAUCCGUCACCGGAAAAAACUCGUCAAUUAUACGCGCCUUUAUGAUGUCAUUAACCAGAUAGAGGCGGUCGUCAUUGUGGAGGAUAAACUAGAAAUAAUAUUUGUUCUGUAGGUACUUAAUCAGCAGUGCUAAAGAUAAUUUUGAGAAUUUAACUUGCUGAAUAAUUCGUGCAAUAUAGCUUUGUAAAUUUAACUUGCUGAAUAAUUCGUGCAAUAUAGCUUUGUAGUUUUCCAACCACUCGCUCAAUUUGUGACCAUAUAUAUGUACAUUAAAUUUUUCAUUGUUUAAUAUGUUCAGAAAACUAAUACAAAUUUCUAAGGGAGAAACAGUUUAACUUCACUUUAUGAUUUUUUUUCACUCAAAGCAUGAACAAUUUUAUUUAGUUUUUCAAAGCUAUCACUCAAAUAAUUUUGUUCAAAAUUUAACACUACAAGUAUAAGCAUGAUAAAUAAUAUGGAAAAUCUGGAUUCAGAAUAUGUUAAUGGCCUCUCAUUCACACACCUUAUUGUCUGCUUGAACAUACUUUUUUACAUCAAUUAGGGAAUCAGAAUAUCUUUUUAGGAAAAAUCAUACCCCCACCCCCUGAAGUUAAAUAGUUGUUCCCUUAAUAACUUUCUCAUAUAAUAUAUAAUAAAGUGGGGCCUGAAAAAAAUAUUUUGUGUCAACUAUCAGUGACUAUGCAUAAUACUUUAGAUUCUUAAAUUUGAAGAUGUUUUUAUUUCCUGCAAAUUAUUUAUAUGCUUCCUUUUCUUAAAUGGUAUAAUUAAUCUCACAAUGUUGUCCAUUGUUCAACAAGCUAAGAAGCACAGAGAAAUUUCUGAGUUCACUGUAUAUAAUUUUUCUAUUUUCAGUUCUCAAAUAGAUGUAAUGGACCUACUGAAAGAGUUAGGUAUAGAUACUUACAGUCAGUAUAUAAAGGGGAGAAAGUUUAUGCAGGUUGAUGGACAUAAAAUAUCCAGUUAUACAUCAUCCAUACCCUCGCUGUCUUUCUUCUCACUCAUUGACUUAGAUAUGUCCAUUAAGAAGGUAAGUGUUUAUGCCCUAACUUUUUAAUAAUACUUACUUGUACUGAAUUUUGUAAAUCGAAGAACAAUGCAUUUUCAAGGGUACUUGUUUUAAUCAUUGGCAAUGCAGUAUAUAAGUUGGUAGUAAGUUUUUAUUUUACGCAAUUCAAUUUAGGAGUCAUCUAUAUAUUAGAUAUAGAAAAAUUAGUACCUCACAAAUUAUAACGAAUUCACUAUAAAUCUUUUUAUAUAGUUUAAUUUGAAAUAUACAGAUAAACAAUAAACACAUGUUUCUUUAAUAAAUUUCAUCAAAUGCAGUUUAGAUAAACAUUUUUUUAAAACUGUCAUGACUGUAUGCAUAUACAUGUAUAUAUAAAACUUCUGGCAUAAAAAAGGAAAUAAUUGUGCUUUCCAUUGGCCAGGUUAAUAAACAGAGGAAAUUGAUUAUUCACUGAUAGUUGCAUAAAUUUUUUCAUUGGGUGAUUAUAUGAAAAUAAGGAAAUGUUGUAUGAUAACCAAAGAGACAGCUAUCAUACUAAGUUCAAAUGAAAUGGAUGUAACCAAUUAUAGGCAACUAGGCAGAUUUCAGCAAAGAGGAAAACCCAUCAGUUAAAGUCGAAUAUAAAAGGCUUCAACAUGAAAAAUAUGAAGCACUGUAUGAUAAUAUAUGAGUUAAUUAAUGAAAUGAAUUGUAACAGGUCUCUUAUGUUAUAAGUAACUGAAACAGGUACUAAAAUUUUAAAAAACAUUUUUUGAACUUUUACCAUUUUUAAAUAUUUUGAAAUUCCUGUUUUCUGUAACAAUAUGUAAGUUUAUAUUUCAGAUGGACAAAAUGGCCAAACUUGUAAAUAUUCAGGACCCUUAUAAAAGUCCACAGGCUAAGAAAUGGGAUGCUAUGACAGUAGAAACUUUUGUCAGUCAGAAUGUGUGGACCCAAGGUUUGUAGAAUGUAAUACAAAUAUAAUAGUCCAUUUGCCAAGUACUACUUUGACUAUGUUACACAACUUGUUUUCAUUUGGUUUAUGUUGCCUAGUUCUUUAAAAUAGUUUAACUGGACAAAUCUUUGUGCUGACAAUACAAAGGGAUAAACAGACAUUUUAACCAAUUGUUAGUAAAGAAUAAAUAUUGAAAACCUUUAAGGUUAAACUUUCAAAUUGGUCCCUAUUAAUGGAAACAAAACAUACAAGUGGAUCUUUAAUUUCUGGUCAGUAAUUUGGAAAAACUAUACAUUCAGAAAAUAUUGCAUGCAUUUCUUUUAGCUGCAAUGUUUGACUGUACAAAGUAAUUGAUAAUUAUUGCGAUGUGAAUAUUGUUGAAUUCUUGGCCAUAUCAUCCUAAGCCUAAAACCUUUUACUAUAUCAAAAUUUUAUAAUUUUAGCUGCAAAAGACUGCCUUGUGUCUGCAACUAGGUGCAUGAUGGGUGUUGAAUUGUCACAGAUUUCAGUGUUGUAUUUUUUAUCAUAUGUAAAUGCAGCUGGUUCUUUACAAAAACUGAUUGAAGCUACUGAAAAUUGUGGUCAGGAAUUCAAAAUUAAGGUAAAGAAGAAAAAUAAAUGUUUUGUACAUACAAUUGGUUCAAUAAGUAGGAAAUUGUUCACAUAACAUUUCACAUUUCCUGUAUUCAAUUGCUUCAACAUUUACCUUUAGAAUUAAAAGCAUCUUCUUGUAAUUUUACUGGGUUGUUAAAUCUAAGAAAUGCUUCAUACAUAUUUAUGACAUGUGCAUGAUCAACACUUUCACAACUGUAUGAAAUAUUUGGUUUGUUUUCAAUUGCAUUUAUCAGUCCAUGAAUGUUGCAUUCUUCUACCUCAGCAAUAGAUAACGUUAGCUGUAUUUUGCAAAACUUUGAGGAAUUUUUGGUCCUCAAUGCUCUUCAACUUUGUACUUUAUUUGGCCUUUUUAAUAUUUUUUUAUUCCAGCGUCACUGAUGAGUCUUUUGUAGAUGAAACACACGUCUGGCAUAAAUAUAAUUGCAAUCCUGGUAUCUACUCUCAUGUAUCUAUGAUUAGUUUAUCUAUUGCUAAAUAAAAAAAAUAAUUUGGAACUCCUUUAAAUUGUUGUCAGUAAAUCAAAAGGAUGAUUUCAUAAGAAACAUUCAAUGUCAUGUAUUGUAAUUAUUUAUCUUUUAAAGUGCACAACUGUCCAGAAUACAAUUUAAGUCGAGGAAAUAAAGAAAUUACACCUGAACCCUUUAUUAAGAGAAAAACUGUCUUGUUAGGUCUGUUCCCAUUGUAAGUAAUACAUAUGCGUUUUGAUCCUCAGUGUGAAGGUGAACUCUCUUAAAAGGUCAGAUUUCCUUUGGUUAGGAGGCUGAUAUGUAUAAACAGGUUUUACUGUAGUAUGAAAAUAUGUUGUCGAUAUUUUAAACCCAUAAAUAUUAAUAUAUAAAAAGAUAAGUUGUUCAAAUUAAACCUUUAUACAUUUGAACAUGCAACAGAAAGAUUGACUUCUAUAUGUUGAAAAAAUCAGAUGAUUCAUAUAUGAAUCUGGUUAGUCCAAAUAAUAAUAAUGUCUUGUAGGAAGACGUCACAGAUUAAAAAAACAACUUUCAAAACUUCAUGAUUAUUUUGACUAUUAUCUGGUAUAAAUUAAUUCUACAUAUUUUUUAGGGAGGAGCACAACAGAUAUCUAAACAACUAGUCAGUAAACUUGCCAAAGAUACAGUUAAACUUAGUCAUCCAGUACUAAGUAUUGAACAAGUGAGUGUCAACUGGUCAGUAAACUUGACAAAUCUUCUUUUUGGCAUAAGACAUUUGCUAUUUUAACAUUAAAAUCUUGUGGGAACCUUUGACUCUGUGAUGUGCAGUAAUGGCAGACAAAUAGGAAUAAGGUCUAUUGUUAAAUGUGACAUUUCAUGUUAUAUUGUAUGUAGGGUAUUCUGCAUGGCAUGCAUAAAGAAGCUAACAAUCACGCUUAAAAUCCUAAAACAUGACUGCUAUCCUGGAAUAUGUGAAAGACUUGUUGCGGACAACAAAUAGGUACCUGGAGUACUGUAAAUUCAGAAAUUAUUGCGUUGUUUUUAUUAUUGCGAAAAACUUAAUACGGUUAUAAUCGCAAUAAUUUACACUCGCAUUUAAUUUUUUUUUAUGAAUUAAACAGGAUUUUUCUCAAUCUCAUAAGAAUUAUCAUUAAAAUUGCAUAUUAGUGCACGCAAUAGUUUCUUAAUUUACAGUAUUCAGUUUGUUAUAAUUUGCAUAAAGAAUAAUCAGGCAAGCAAUGAUGUAAAACUAAAAUUUCAAUCAUUGCUGAACGCUUAGUACUUAAGUUUCAAUCAUUAUUGAAAUCUUACUAAAAUUUCAAUCAUUGUUGAACUUUUUAUUUAUGUUUAUAGCUCAUAUACAUAUUUUUUUUUGUAGACCAAAGAUUGUGUUAUUGUUAAAACUCUUAAUGGAACUGAGUUUAAAUGUAAAUCUGUGAUAAUGGCUACACCACCAAACAUGACAAGUAAGUAUAUUUGUAAUAAAUAUGACGGGGAUGGGAGGGGGGUUGUAGGGGUUGGAGGGCUCCUGACCACGAAAUCCCAGGCUUAAAAACAUGAAAUCCCAAGGUCCCAAUUUAAAUCCUGACAUCCCAAAAUUUAAAAAAAUAAAUCCUGGAUCCAAAAAGGAUCAAUCCCAAAAUCCUGAGCUUAAAAAUACCUAAUCCUGGUGUUCCGAUAAAGGUCAAACUCUGAAAUUAAUAAGAUAGUAACUUUAAGAUUAAUUUUUAAUUUAAAUUAAUCAUAAAAUGAAUAAUUAUGGGAAAAUCAAUUGUUUUAAUAUUUUCAUUAUUACUAGAUCCCUGAGUAAAUUAUUUCCAUUGGUCAGAGUCCCCUCUAAAAACGCCUUUAAGAUGAUCGUGUGUGAAUACAGAAAAUGUAAUUAAACAAUUGUCAUAUAAUUAUAGUGUUUACCCCCAAAAUAUAAGACGAUAUUAAGUAACAAUUUUUAAGUUCUGAAGCAACUAAUUGACGUUCUCAGGUAUGUUUCUCAUGCAAAUAUCAAUGUUUAUUUUCGUUUCCUGCUUUGAAACUUGAAAACAUUAGAAACAACCAUUUUACUCCUCAACAUUGAAGAGAGUUCUAAGGUCAAGAAUAAUGUAGUCGGAAUGGGCAUAAUUUUUUGAACUGGUAGAUGGCGCAGCAUUGUUAUCAUAAAUGAUUGCUUAACCUGCCAAGGAUGGAGAGGACGGGCUUUUGUAACCCUCGGCUAGAGAAAAUGGUCAGAAGUUGUGAAAAAAAGACAUUUGAAACAAUAUAAAAACCUAAUAUGAAAAUAAGAAGAUGUGGUAUGAUUGCCAAAGAGACAACUCUCUACAAGAGACCAAAUGACACAGAAAUCAACAACUAACAGGCUAUUAUUUAAACUUGGAAUUAUUUUUAAUUAUGGAAUUUGCAUAAUUUCCUGUGUUUAAAAUUUUUAAUAAAUUCCAUGGAUAUUCCGUAUUCUGAUCUUUUGAGGGGUUAAUAACAUUUUCCUUACAAGGUAUUUUGGUUAGAUAGUGUUGUGCACUGCACAGUACAUUCUAUUGAAAAUAUAAUAUGUUUCUUGUAACAAGAAAUCAAGCAAAUUCCAUAAUUAAAAAUAAUUCCAAGUUCAAAUAAUAGCCUGUUAACUAUAGGUCACUGUACAGCCUUCAACAAUGAGUAAUAUUCUAAUACAUGUAUAUUUUGAUUGCAGAUAAAAUAAAUUUCAAGCCUAAUCUUCCAGCACCUAAAAAGGAAAUAAUGAACAGAAUGCCAGUGGGUUUAUUAAAUAAAGUUAUUAUAACUUAUGAAAAAGUAAGUUUAUUAUCUAAUAGAACAGAGAACUUAUUCAUGAGGCAAAAUUCUACAUGUUUUUGACAAAAUCUAAAAAAACAGUGUUUUUAUUGAUUUUCUUCAUCUCAAGUCACAACAUGCCUUGUAUACAGGGCAAAACAAGCCCACAUCUUACUACAAGUUGAAGUUCACCCUAAUACAAGUUCAAGCAGAAUUCUUUGCUAUAUGUCAUAAAUGGUUCACCUUCUGACUAACAAAGGUUUAUAAUAAUAUUAACAAAUAACAGACAGGUACAUAAAUCUAACAAGUACAAUCAUCCUCAGACAUUCAUUCAGUUCUCAAGAGUCAUUAAACUAUUUUUAAGAAUGUCCAGAUUACUUUUUUUUUUGUAAGUUCUAAGUGCAUUUUGUUAUAUACUUUGGAUUUAUUUCUUUUCCUGGGUACUAAUUUUUGUUGAUUAAGAAAAUCUGACAUGUUCAUGGAUAAUUAUUUUUUGUGGUUUUGCCAAAGUUUGAAUACAAGCAUAUAGAAAAUUUGUUAUACAAAAAUUCAUGAUUCACCUGUACUUAUGAAAUCCACAAAAAAAUUGGUAUCCAUCAAAUAAUAACAUGAAUAAUGAAGCAACAAUAUUAAAUAAUAAAUUUAUCUAAGUUGACAAUAUUUAGAAAUAAAAGCCAAUUUAAAGCCCCUUUGGGCAGAAUCAGAAAUAUAAAUCCAGGUAGACUAGUCCUUAUCUCAAUACUACUGUUUUGUAGUCCUUUUGGAGAGAAGCAGGAUGCUCUGGUGAGAUUGUAACUAUUGGUGGACCAUCUACUGCUGAGGGCUGUGAUGAAGGACCAUUGUGUAUCGUAUAUGAUGCUACGUCAUCAAAUAACAAUGCUGCUUUAGUGGCAUUUAUUGGUGGCAAACAAGCUGUUCAGUGGCAACUGCAACCAGUAAGUGUAAAGUUAAUUUCCAGUUUGAUUAGGUUUUAGUGGAUACAAAUGGUUUUUUUUAAUAAAUUUCAAAUUAUAUACUGAUGAUUCAGUUAUUUUGGUGGAUGUUUUGAUUUCAUGGAUUUGCUGAAGAUUAGGGAGCUACCAUUUGAUUUUUAUGGGGGGGCUAGGAUGAAAUUUGAAAAAAAUAGACAGGACAGGAGUUUUGAGUAAAAAAAAAGGCAGGAUGAGACACUUGCAAAAAAAAAAGUCAGGACGACAAUUUAGGUAAAAAAAAGUCAGGAUAAACUAAAAAAAAAAAGCAGGACCGAACAGAGUGAAAAAUAAAAAGGCAGGACAGAGAUAACAGCUAAAAAAAAAGGCAGGACAAAAUUUUUCAUCCUAGCCCCCCCCCAUAAAAAUCAAAUGGUAGCUCCCUUACAUACAAUGAUGUAGAAAAUGUAUACUUUGUUGAACAUUUAAAAUGAGGGAUUUAUACUUAUACACAUUUAAUCCACAACACCCAUUAAAUAUGUGAAGUAUCAACAGUAUUCUUGUAUACAAAAACACAAAUUAAAUACAAAACUUUGACUUGGAAAUUCACAGCAAAAAACUUACAGAUGAUCUUCAUGUUAUUAAACACAUUAAACACAUCUUGAUUGAACUGAAAUAAAUUAAUGGUAAGUACUUUUGUAUCUUCAAGUUGAUAAAAUUAAUAGAGAUUAAUGGAAGAAAUUUAUUGAGAAAUCUGAUUGAUACUCACAUCUUUGUUUUUUAACAGGAAGCAGACAGACAGUCAGCUGUUUUAAAAAGCUUGUCUUCAUUUUUUGGUGAUGAUGUAUGGAACUAUAAAGAUUACAGGGAACAAGAUUGGGGACUGGAGCCCUACAGUGAAGGUAGUCCUGUAUGUUGUGCAGCACCUGGUGCUAUGCCAUACUUCGUUAGUGGAUUACGUCAUUCUUUUGACAGGUAACUAAAAAAGGAAUUCAUUUAUUGUUAGUAGAGUGACUGGACUGGAACCGUAUCAUUAUACCAACUUGAACAGUUUUGGAAUGUAAUACCCCACUCUUGGAAUUAGGGGUUAACAACAAUGACAUUGUCAAUAGAUAUAAGUAGAUGUGGUAUAAGUGCCAAUGAGACAAGUUCACACAACACUUGAUCCAAGUCACAAUGCGUAAAAAGUUUACAAUUAUAGGUACAGCCUUCAACAUGGAGCUUUUGAUCACACAUAACAACAAACUAUAAAGUUACCCAAAAUGACUAAUGUAAAACAAUUCAAACAGGAAAACCAAGGGUCUAAUCUAUAUAAAAAAUGAGAAACGAGAAUCGCUUAUUCAUGAACCACAUAAACAAAUUUUAACUACUGAACAACAGGUUCCUGACUUCUUUCCAUUUGUUUAUCUGCUUUUCCUAUUUAUCUGUGGUUCAUUUAUCCAAAUGCAAUGAAUGAAUUUAUAUUUUUUUUUACUUUAUAAUAAUGAGUGACAAAUGUGGGUUAUUUUCAUAUAUGCCAGGCAUUUACUCUCUGACGAAUAGCAUAAGACCAUAUUGAAUGAUAAAUACAUGAGGAAUUUCUGAUAAUUAACAUAAAUAUUGUAUUUUUAUUAUUUUAGAAUAUAUUUUGCUGGAACAGAAUCUGCCACUAGGUGGUGUGGAUUUAUGAAUGGAGCAGUGCAAGCUGGGAAAAGGGCGGCAUUUGAAGUUAUUUAUAGAUUCCAUCCUCAAGCAAUAACAAGGGAGGAGGUGAAUGAAGCUUUUGUUAUUUCUAGGACGGAUCUUAAAUUAAAACAGAAAUCAUCUCACUUACAAUUUUAUGUAUUUGGUAUUGGUACUGUUAUAGGAGCAGGUUUAUUAUUUACUAUCUACUUUCGACGAAAAUCGUGAUAUUUAAUCUAAGCUUUAUACUAUACACAAUUGCUCUAGUUUUUUAAUGAGGUAAGUAUGGUUAAGUAGGUAUCUAGCUUUUUUUUUAACAGUUUUGUUUGUUUAAGGUGUUGAUUUUUUUGGUCUAUUACUAUUUUUUUAAAAUUUUGAUUGGUCUAGAACUACUAAAUUUGUCCAUAAAAAAGGGUCAUUCACUGUGAGAAAGACUGAAUGGGUCUGAACCUUCCUGAGCAAACUUCCCCAUUUCAGCACUCACUUUUCCAAUACCUUUUUACACAUAUGUCAUAUAUUGUAAAGUAGAAUGACAUUAUAAAUGUUUAGUUGUCAGUGGGAAGUGCCUUAUUUUGUAAGAAUAUUUGUAAAAAAUAACUGUCAGAUAAGGUUGAUGGAUAAAUACCUUUAUUGUGUUAUGAUAUACUGGAAAGAGAUAGUUAUUGUGUUUUUUUUUUUUAAAUAUUUAUAUAAAUUGGAGGGAAAAAAUUACAUGAUUCUGCAUAUUUAACUUACAUGAUAUGUUAAUGCUUUGUAUUCUAUAAUGAUAAAUGUGAUAAGAGGUCAGGAUUUUAAUUUUAAAUAUUCUUAGCCAUUGGUUUCAUUCAAAUAGAUUUUUUUUUCAUAAUUUGAAUUGGAGGUUUUAUUUUUACUGUUAUUUAGUGUGCACUGUUUUUGAUAUAUUUAAAAGAUGUUCUAAUGUUUUAUAUCUUAUUGAGAAUAUUUUGUUAUUGUUUGAAAUAAAAGUGCCAAAUGAAAACGAUUAUUUAUUGUCUAUUACCAUUACUAGAUAAGAACUAGCUUUCCAAGUGCACGAGUACCAUACUGUACAAACUACGUUCAUACAUUCAUCAACACACUACCAUAUUUUGAAAAACUAGCUUUCCUACUGGAUACAUAAGUGUUAUAGGUGUCAGACCACCAAUUAAAAAUCCCUAUCUGUUCAACCAAAUUUUGCAAUUUUCACAGCUUUCUAUAUAUUUUACCUUAAGUUUAACUUCAUAGAAACCAGGUAUAUCCUUAAUUGUACAUGUAUCAGCUUUCUACAUGCCAAUUUUUCACCAUACCUUUAAAGCCUUCUAACAAAAUAACUGACCUUCAAACAGAGGUACUCCAAAAAAAAAACCUGGUUUUCUGGAAAUCUAAAAUUAGUAUACUAUGAAGCGCAUUAAUCCUCAAUUUUUAAUGCAAACUCAUAGACAAGUAAAUUUUGGCUCAAAAUGAUCUUAAUAUAUUUCUCUUUCACCAAAAGUUUCAUUUCUGCAAAUUUGUUGGUUAGUUUAAGUAAACAAGGACAUCAAAAGCACUUAUUUUGUGUCCGAGUAGGGCUACUUUUACAUACGUUCUAAAUUGGAGGGAGUAAUUGGUGGUCUGACACAUUAUAACCACACUGAUUGCCCUCAUUAAUGAAUAUAAAAAACCUGAGCAUAUUAGCUUUCCCUUUGAAUACACAAUAUUAGUGGGACCACAAUGAAUGCACUCAUUCAUCAAUACACUAGCCUCAUUGUUUAUACUAGCUUGCCUUUUGCACACUAUAUUGGUAUGCCCACAUUGAUUGCCCUCUUUCAUCAAUAUAAUAGCCUUGAUUGUAUCGUUGAGCACCUAAGCUUUCCCUUUAAAUACAUUAUUAUUUUUAUCACACAGAAUGUCUACAUUCAUCGUAAACAAGCAUCGUUUUACUCUUUGAAUACACUAUCUCGCCCUUUAACUACAUUAUUAGUGUGACAACAGUGAAUUACCCGGCCCGUCCAUAAAUAGUUCAAUACAUUAGCCAACUAGGUUAUUCUAGCUUGCUCUUUAAACACUAUAUUGGUAUUACCACACUGAUUGCCCUUAUUCAUCAGUACAGUAGCCUUGAUUUCAUCGAUGAGGACACAAGAUUUCCCUAAUACUACACAAUUAUUAUUAUCACACUGAAUGCCUACAUUCAUCGGCACACUAGCCUCCUUUGCCUUGUUGAGUACACUAGCUUUCUCUUUAACUACAUAAUAAAUAUUAUCAUACAGAAUGCCUAAAUUCAUGGGUUAACUAGCAUCGUAGGCAUGGGUGAGUACACUAGCUUUCCCUUUAACUACAUAAAUAUUAUUAUCAUCACACUAAAUUACCGCCACAUUUAUCAGUACACUAGCUUCCUUGGUAUCGCUGAGUACACGACCAUUCCAUAUUUGAAUAUGCAAUUAUUAUGAGCACACUGAUUGCCUACAUGGAUCGGUAAACUAGCAUCGUGAGCCUUGCUGAAUCGUUACUUUUCCCUUUUAAUACAUGUACGUACAAAAUUAGUUUGACCACAUUGAAUGCCUACUUUCUUCAGUACACUAGCCUCGUCUGUAUUGCUGAGUACAUUAUCGUUCCCUUUGAACACGCUUAUUGUGACCACACUGAAUGUGCAAUCUAGUUUCCCUUUAAAUACACAAUUAUUAUUACCGAACUAAAUAGAUAUAGGAAGAUGUGGUAUGAGUGCCAAUGAUAAAAUUCUCAAUCCAAGUCACAAAUAUAAAGGUAAACCAUUAUAGGUCGAUGAAUGCCUACAUUCAACAUUAUACUACCCUCCUUGACAUCGUUGAUUACACUAGCUUUCCCUUUGAAUACACUGAAUGUUAAUAUCCAUCAAUACACUUUCCUUAUUCAAUGGGUACACUUAGCUUGUCUUAACUUUUUGUUUGUCCACACUGAAUUCCCUCGCCCAUCAAUAUACAAGCCUCAUUAGAUACACUAGCUUUUCUUCCGCAUGCAAUUUUGGUAUGACCACAAUGAAUGCCCUCGUAAAUGAAUACACUAUCCUCAUUGGAUACACUAUCUUUUUAUCUGAAUGCAAUUUUGGUAUGACCACAAUGAAUGCCCUCGUCUAUUAAUACACUAGCCUCAUUGUAUACACUAGCUUUUCUUCAGGAUACAAUUUGGUAUGACCACACUGAAUGCCCUCGCCUAUCAAUAUACUAGCCUCAUUGGAUACACUAGCUUUUCUUUAGCAUGCAAUUUUGGUAUGACCACAAUGAAUGCCCUCGUAAAUCAAUACACUAGCCGCAUUUGAUACACUAGCUUUUCUUCUGAAUGCACUUUUGGUAUGACCACACUGAAUGCUCUCGUAAAUCGGUACACUAGCCUCAUUGGAUACACUAGAUUUUUAUCUGACUUCAAUUUUGGUAUGACCAUUAUGAAUGCCCUCGUCUAUUAAUACACUAUAGCCUUAUGGAUACACUAGCUUUUCUUAAGCAUGCAAUUUUUGAUUACCACAAUGAAUGCCCUCGUAAUUAAAUACACUAGCCUCAUUGGAUACACUAUCUUUUUAUCUGAAUGCAAUUUUGGUAUGACCACACUGAAUGCUCUCGUAAAUCAAUGCACAAGAUUCAUUGGAUACAAUAGCUUUCUGUCUGGAUGCAAUUUUGGUAUGACCACACUGAAUGCCCUCAUAAAUCAAUACACUAGCCUCAUUGGAUAUAGUAGCUUUUUAUCCGACACUGAAUGCCCUCAUAAAUCAUUACACUAGUCUCAUUGAAUACAAUAGCUUUUCUUUAGCAUGAAUUUUGGUAUGAACACAAUGAAUGCCCUCGUAAAUCAAUACACUAGCAUCAUUUGAUACAAUAGCUUUUUAUCUGAAUGCAAUUUUGGUAUGACCACACUGAAUGUCCUCGACUAUCAAUUCAUUAACCUCAUUUGAUACACUAGCUUUUCUUCAACAUGUAAUUUUGGUAUGACCACACUGAAUGCCCUCGUAAACCAUUACACUAACCUCAUUUGAUACAAUAGCUUUUUAUCUGAAUGCAAUUUUGGUAUGACCACACUGAAUGCCCUUGUAAAUCAAUACAAUAGCCUCAUUUGAUACAAUAUCUCUUUUUCUGAAUGCACUUUUGGUAUAACCACACUGAAUGCCCUCGUAAAUCAAUACACUAGCAUCAUUGAAUACACUAGCUUCUGAUCUGAAUGCAAUUUUGUUAUGACCACAAUGAAUGCCCGCCUAAAUCAAUACACUAGCCUAAUUUGAUACAAUAGCAAUAGCUUUUUAGAAGAAUGUAAUUUUGUUAUGACCACAAUGAAUGCCCUCCUUAAUCAAUACGCUAGCCUCAUUUGAUACAAUAGCUUUUUAUCUGAAUGCAAUUUUGGUAUGACAACACUAAAUGUCCUCGUCUAUCAAUUCACAAGACUCAUUGGAUACAAUAGCUUUUUGUCUGAAUGCAAUUUUGGUAUGACCACACUGAAUGCCCUUAUUAAUCAAUACACUAGUUUUAUUGGAUAUAAAAGCUUUUUAUCUGAAUGUAAUUUUGGUAUGACCACACUGAAUGCCCUCGUCUAUUAAUACACAAGACUCAUUUGAUACAAUAUCUUUUUAUCUAAAUGCAAUUUUGGUAUGACCACACUAAAUGCCCUCGUAAAUAAAUACACUAGCCUCAUUAGAUACAUUAUCUUUUUAUCUGAAUGCAAUUUUGGUAUGACCACACUGAAUGCCCUCGUAAAUAAAUACACUAGCCUCAUUGGAUACAGUAUCUUUUUAUCUGAAUGCAAUCUUGGUAUGACCACAAUGAAUGCCCUUAAAAUGAAUUCCCUCAUAAAUCAAUACACUAGCCUUAUUUGAUACAAUAGCUUUUUAUCUGAAUGCAAUUUUGGUAUCAACACACUGAAUGUCCUCGUCAAAUCAAUUCACUAGCCUCAUUUGAUACACUAGCUUUUCUUCAGCAUGCAAUUUUGGUAUGACCACAUGGAUGCCCUCGUAAACCAUUACACUAACCUCAUUGGAUACAAUAGCUUUUUAUCUGAAUGCAAUUUUGGUAUGACCACACUGAAUGCCCUCGUAAAUCAAAACAAUAGCCUCAUUUAAUACAAUAGCUUUUUAUCUGAAUGCAAUUGUGGUAUGACCACACUGAAUGCCCUCGUAAAUCAAUACACUAGCCUCAUUGAAUACAAUAGCUUUUCUUUAGCAUGCAUUUUGGUAUGGUCACAAUGAAUGUCCUAGUAAAUCAAUAAACUAGCAUCAUUGAAUACACUAGCUUUUUAUAUGAAUGCAAUUUUGUUAUGACCACAAUGAAUGCCCUCCUUAAUCAAUACACUAGCCUCAUUUGAUACAAUAGCUUUUUAUCUGAAUGCAGUUUUUGUAUGACCACACUGAAUUCCCUCGUCUAUCAAUACACUAGCCUCAUUUGAUUCUUCAGCAUGCAAUUUUGGUAUGACCACACUGAAUGUUCUUGUCUAUCAAUACACUAGCCUAAUUGGAUACAAUAGCUUUUUAUCUGAAUGCGAUUUUGGUAUGACCACACUGAAUGCCCUCGUAAAUCAAUAUACUAGCCUCAUUUGAUACAAGAGCUUUUUAUCUGAAUGCAAUUUUGGUAUGACCACACUGAAUGCCCUCAUUAAUCAAUACACUAGCCUCAUUGGAUACAAUAGCUUUUUAUCUGUAUGCAAUUUUGGUAUGAACACAAUGAAUGCCCUCGUUAAUCAAUACACUAAUCUCAUUUGAUACAAUAACUUUUUAUCUGAAUGCAAUUUUGGUAUGACCACUCCGAAUGCCCUCGUCUAUCAAUACACUAGCCUCAUUUGAUACACUAGCUCUUCUUCAGCAUGUAAUUUUGGUAUGACCACACUGAAUGCCCUCGUAAAUCAUUACACUAGCCUCAUUGGAUAUAAUAGCUUUUUAUCUGAAUGCAAUUUUUGUAUGUCCACAAUGAAUGCCCUUGUAAAUCAAUACACUAGCCUGAUUGGAUACAAUAGCUUUUCUUUUUCUUUAAACAAUGAUUAUGUCGUAAUUACGAGAUAGUUUUCUCGCAAUUACGCGAUGAUUAUCUCGUGAUUACAAGAUAACACUAUUACGCAUCGGUGACAAUAUAAUGGAGUUUGAUGAGACUGUCAUACAAUUGAGAGGUUUAGCUAGCUAUAAAACCAGGUUCAAUCCACCAUUUUCUACAUAAGAAAAUGCCUGUACCAAGUCAGGAAUAUGACAGUUGUUAUCCAUUUGUUUGAUGCGUUUGAACUUUUGAUUUUGCCAUUUGAUUGGGGACUUUCCUUUUUGAAUUUUCCUUGGAGUUCAGUAUUUUUGUGAUUUUAUUUUUUUUUUCUCGUAAUUACGCAAUAAUUAUCGCGUAAUUACGAGAUAAUUCUCGUGUAAUAACAAUAAUUCUCGCGUAAUAAUAAUACGCGAUAGUUUUCUUGUAAUUACGAGAUAAAUAAAACAAAUUGUGACCCUAAUAGGCUUUCGUAAUAAAGGCAUCAAAAUGCAUUAUUAUAAAACAAUUAAAACUUGAAUACUAACACUCUGGAGUUUCGGCUAAUUUUAAGUGUCAUACCAGAGUUGCAUGUUCCCUCCAUAGAAGCACAACUCCUUGAAACAUAUUUGUUAUCUUUUUUGAAACUUAGUUUCUUGAUACGUAUUUAUUUUAUACAGUUGCAAGUUCACAAAAAAAAACAAGGACAAAAUGAAAGGUCUUGUAAUAUUUUCAGAUGAAUUUCGAACAGAUUCCCUCAAGCUAG
rnacentral:lncRNA from 1 species